rnacentral:rRNA from 1 species
UACGGAAGGCAGCAGUGGGGAAUAUUGCACAAUGGGCGCAAGCCUGAUGCAGCCAUGCCGCGUGUAUGAAAAAGGCCUUCGGGUUGUAAAGUACUUUCAGUCGUGAGGAAGGUGUUAAGGUUAAUAACCUUAGCAAUUGACGUUAGCGACAGAAGAAGCACCGGCUAACUCCGUGCCAGCAGCCGCGGUAAUACGGAGGGUGCGAGCGUUAAUCGGAAUUACUGGGCGUAAAGGGCACGCAGGCGGUUAAUUAAGUUGGAUGUGAAAUCCCCGGGCUUAACCUGGGAAUGGCAUUCAAGACUGGUUAGCUAGAGUCUUGUAGAGGGGGUAGAAUUCCAUGUGUAGCGGUGAAAUGCGUAGAGAUGUGGAGGAAUACCGGUGGCGAAGGCGGCCCCUGGACAAAGACUGACGCUCAUGUGCGAAAGCGUGGGGAGCAAACAGGGAUUAGAUACC